UACGGAGGGUGCAAGCGUUAUCCGGAUUCACUGGGUUUAAAGGGAGCGUAGGUGGGCUGGUAAGUCAGUGGUGAAAUCUCCGGGCUUAACUCGGAAACUGCCGUUGAUACUAUCAGUCUUGAAUAUUGUGGAGGUAAGCGGAAUAUGUCAUGUAGCGGUGAAAUGCUUAGAUAUGACAUAGAACACCGAUAGCGAAGGCAGCUUGCUACACAAUUAUUGGCACUGAGGCUCGAAAGCGUGGGGAUCAAACAGG
rnacentral:rRNA from 1 species